UACGUAGGGUGCGAGCGUUAAUCGGAAUUACUGGGCGUAAAGGGCGCGUAGGUGGCCCGGUCAGUCGAUGGUGAAAGCGCGGGGCUCAACUCCGCGUCGGCCGUCGAUACUGCUGGGCUUGAGCACUGUAGAGGCAGGCGGAAUUCCGGGUGUAGCGGUGGAAUGCGUAGAGAUCCGGAAGAACACCGGUGGCGAAGGCGGCCUGCUGGGCAGUGGCUGACACUGAGGCGCGACAGCGGUGGGGAGCAAACAGGG
rnacentral:rRNA from 1 species